AGAAACAGAAUACUGCAAAUACUAUAACCUAAUCCUAACGUUUCUUUCAGUACUAUAUAUAUAAUAACCCCCCUAUUUUACUGUUACCAAUCUUCAAGCGACACCUGUCCUUUAGCCACGUGUCCAAGCAUAGCCUAGAAGUCUCUUGUUGGGUUGUUUUUGCCUAACACUUCUGCGUAGCUCAUCUGUCUCGUUGCUAGGCCCAAUUGCACUACUUGGGCCAGUAGAGUCUUUGUUUUCUUUAGCCCGUUCCGAUCCGUUCUCUUUAGCUUGCU
rnacentral:lncRNA from 1 species